rnacentral:rRNA from 1 species
CUGGGCUAGAAUGCACGAGGCAUAUAGCAGAGAUGUUAUAGCUGGGCAACCAGUCGCGUGCAAGGUGCUGCACGGCUGUCGUCAGCUCGUGUCGUGAGAUGUUGGGUUAAGUCCCGCAACGAGCGCAACCCUUACCGUUAGUUGCUAACAGGAAAGCUGAGCACUCUAGUGGAACUGCCGAUGAUAAAUCGGAGGAAGGUGGGGAUGACGUCAAGUCCUCAUGGCCUUUAUGUCCAGGGCUACACACGUGCUACAAUGGCAGGUACAAAGAGCUGCAAACUUGUAAAAGCGAGCUAAUCUCAAAAAACCUGUCUCAGUUCGGAUUGGAGUCUGCAACUCGACUCCAUGAAGCUGGAAUCGCUAGUAAUCGCGGAUCAGCAUGCCGCGGUGAAUACGUUCCC